UAGGGGUGAAAGGCCUGUCAAAAUAUUUGAUAACUUGAUUGAGAAGAGAUAUUUUAAGAAUAGUAGACAAUUAAUUAAUGAUAAGGUUGAUUAAUAGAACAAAUGUUGUUAUUACUUUUUUACAUAGUUUAAUUACUUGUAAAAACGUUAAUUAAGUAUAUAAAACAUAUUGUAUUGUUGUAUUUACUUUCAAAAUUUAGCGAAUUUUUAAUAAAUGUUAAUAUGUUACUAUUAGUAGUUUUUAAAUUUUAAAUAAGGAACUCGGCAAACAAUUUGGUCAACUGUUUAACAAAAACAUAGCUAUACGUAUUGUAUGUCUAGUGAUUUCUGCUCAAUGAAUGAUAGUAUUAAAUAGCCGCAGUACACUGACUGUGCAAAGGUAGCAUAAUCAUUUGGCUCAUAAUUGGAGUCUGGUAUGAAUGAAUUUAUGGCUAAGAGCUGUCUCCUUUAAAUUUUAUUGAACUUGCUAAGUAAGUGCAAAUACUUACAUUUUAACAAAAGACGAGAAGACCCUAGAAAUUUUUACUAUUUUUUUAAAAAUAAAAAGAAAGCGUUUUUGUUGGGGCGACAUAAUAACAUAUAACUUAUUAUUGAUAUAAGAACUUUAUGUUGAGUAAAUUAAAAUUACUCUAGGGAUAACAGCAUAAUUUACAAAAGUUUGUGACCUCGAUGUUGGAUUAAGGACUGUACUAUUCAAAAGAAAGUGUGAUUUGUUCUGUUCGAAC
rnacentral:rRNA from 1 species